rnacentral:rRNA from 1 species
AUUGAACGCUGGCGGCAUGCUUUACACAUGCAAGUCGAACGGUAACAGGCCGCCAGGUGCUGACGAGUGGCGCACGGGUGAGUAAUGCAUCGGAACGUGCCCAGUCGUGGGGGAUAACUACUCGAAAGAGUAGCUAAUACCGCAUACGAUCUAUGGAUGAAAGCGGGGGACCGUAAGGCCUCGCGCGAUUGGAGCGGCCGAUGUCAGAUUAGGUAGUUGGUGGGGUAAAGGCUCACCAAGCCAACGAUCUGUAGCUGGUCUGAGAGGACGACCAGCCACACUGGGACUGAGACACGGCCCAGACACCUACGGGAGGCAGCAGUGGGGAAUUUUGGACAAUGGGCGCAAGCCUGAUCCAGCAAUGCCGCGUGCAGGAAGAAGGCCUUCGGGUUGUAAACUGCUUUUGUACGGAACGAAACGGCUCUGGUUAAUACCCGGGGCUAAUGACGGUACCGUAAGAAUAAGCACCGGCUAACUACGUG